GAUGAACGCUGGCGGCGUGCCUAAUACAUGCAAGUCGAGCGAACAGACGAGGAGCUUGCUCCUCUGACGUUAGCGGCGGACGGGUGAGUAACACGUGGAUAACCUACCUAUAAGACUGGGAUAACUUCGGGAAACCGGAGCUAAUACCGGAUAAUAUAUUGAACCGCAUGGUUCUAUAGUGAAAGACGGUUUUGCUGUCACUUAUAGAUGGAUCCGCGCCGACUUAGCUAGUUGGUAAGGUAACGGCUUACCAAGGCGACGAUGCGUAGCCGACCUGAGAGGGUGAUCGGCCACACUGGAACUGAGACACGGUCCAGACUCCUACGGGAGGCAGCAGUAGGGAAUCUUCCGCAAUGGGCGAAAGCCUGACGGAGCAACGCCGCGUGAGUGAUGAAGGUCUUCGGAUCGUAAAACUCUGUUAUUAGGGAAGAACAAAUGUGUAAGUAACUAUGCACGUCUUGACGGUACCUAAUCAGAAAGCCACGGCUAACUACGUG
rnacentral:rRNA from 1 species